CCUACGGGUGGCAGCAGUGAGGAAUAUUGGUCAAUGGACGAGAGUCUGAACCAGCCAAGUAGCGUGAAGGAUGACUGCCCUAUGGGUUGUAAACUUCUUUUAUAAAGGAAUAAAACGAGGCACGUGUGCCUUUUUGCAUGUACUUUAUGAAUAAGGAUCGGCUAACUCCGUGCCAGCAGCCGCGGUAAUACGGAGGAUCCGAGCGUUAUCCGGAUUUAUUGGGUUUAAAGGGAGCGUAGAUGGGUUGUUAAGUCAGUUGUGAAAGUUUGCGGCUCAACCGUAAAAUUGCAAUUGAUACUGGCAGUCUUGAGUACAGUGGAGGUAGGCGGAAUUCGUGGUGUAGCGGUGAAAUGCUUAGAGAUCACGAAGAACCCCGAUUGCGAAGGCAGCUUAAUAAACUGUGACUGACAUUGAUGCUCGAAAGUGUGGGUAGCAAACAGGAUUAGAUACCCUAGUAGUC
rnacentral:rRNA from 1 species